rnacentral:rRNA from 1 species
AGUGAACGCUGGCGGUAGGCCUAACACAUGCAAGUCGAACGGCAGCACAGUAAGAGCUUGCUCUUACGGGUGGCGAGUGGCGGACGGGUGAGGAAUACAUCGGAAUCUACUUUUUCGUGGGGGAUAACGUAGGGAAACUUACGCUAAUACCGCAUACGACCUACGGGUGAAAGCAGGGGAUCUUCGGACCUUGCGCGAUUGAAUGAGCCGAUGUCGGAUUAGCUAGUUGGCGGGGUAAAGGCCCACCAAGGCGACGAUCCGUAGCUGGUCUGAGAGGAUGAUCAGCCACACUGGAACUGAGACACGGUCCAGACUCCUACGGGAGGCAGCAGUGGGGAAUAUUGGACAAUGGGCGCAAGCCUGAUCCAGCCAUACCGCGUGGGUGAAGAAGGCCUUCGGGCUGUAAAGCCCUUUUGUUGGGAAAGAAAAGCAGCAGGUUAAUACCCCGCUGUUCUGACGUUACCCAAAGAAUAAGCACCGGCUAACUUCGUG